UAAACAGACCUAAGAAACAGAUUGAGUUGAAUGUUAAAGUUAAAAAGUAAAGAUAAGGCAAGGCUGUGUGUGGUGGCGCACACCUUUAAUCUCAGUACUCUGGAGGCAGAGGCAGGCAGAACUCUGUGAGUUUGAGGCCAGCCUGGUCUACAUAGUGAACUCCGAGCUUACCAGAGCUAAGUGGUGAGAUUGUGCCUAAAACCAAGCCACAUCAGACCAGACCAAACCAAAACAAGACAAAAAACCAAAUGGACACGUCCCACCUGCCACCAAAUCACACCAAAGAGUGAAAAAGCAAAGAUUCCUUUUGAAGCUUGCUUCUCACAUCCUCCGGGAGUACAGAGAUGGCCACACCCAACUGGAUGGAUACAGCUUUGAAAAGCAUGUAUUCAUAAAAAUGUUUUGACCCAAACACUGGAACUUUCCAACUGCCACUGUGGAGUAACUGCAGUCUCCUUUGUUUUGUGGCUCUGUGUGUGUGUGUGUGUGUGUGUGUGGUGUUGUGCAUAUGGGAUGGAGCUAGAAGUCAGCACUGGGUGUCUUUAUCUUCCUCUAUUGCUCUCUACUUUUUUUUUUUUUGGUUUGCUUGUUUGUUUUAUUAAGACAGGGUUUCUUUGUGUAGCCCUGGCUGUCCAGGAACUUGCUCUGUAGCCAACAUUGGCCUUGAACUCACAGAGAUCCAUUUGCCUCUGCCUCCUGAGUACUGGGAUUAAAGGCAUGCUGAUGUACCGCCAUUUGAGCUGGAAGGAGGGCCAUUGGCCUGUGAGCUGGGUGUUGGCGCUUUCAGAACAGAAGCCGGGCUCUGAGCCCCGCACCCCGUCUCGACCUGUAAGUGCUGGACAGGCACAGAGGAAGUGGCAGCUUCAAGUCUUCUUUGGACCAAGCCCAUUUUCUGUAGAAAAUGACAGGGCAGAGUGUAACCCGGAGAAGUAUCACAGAACAGAGGUGGAUGAGACCAAGCAGGUACCCUGAACCCCAAGUUCCCCUUGCUGUUUGAAACACCAGAUAACUGGGGAGACACCCCCCUUCUGUGCUGCACACUGCAGGUGCAGCUUCUUUCCCACCUUUCGUGCAAAAUGCAAGUUUCUCUCUGCUUGGGUGGAAUGGACACCUGGUUGGCAUGUUUCCCCAGCAGAGUCGGGUUCUCUUCCAGACAAAUGGGGAAUGUGUUUGUAUGUGUGAACAGCCUGGUUCGGUCUCCACCUGUGAACACAGCAAUAAUCCCUAGGUGCCUCAUUUCCUCUGUAUUCAACUGGGAAACAUCUCCGGAUUUCUAAGCUUCCAGCCCCAGUCAGUAACCGCCCAGUCUUGGUGGCCAGACCUCCAGGCUGAGCCAUGUGUCCCUCAGCCUGAGCUGUGCAAAUUCUGCCCUUGCCAGGAGAGGAGCUGACAGUGCAUUCGAUUUAUUGAGUUUUAGACAUUCUUUCCGGCGUGGAUCAGAACAGAUAUUUUUGUUCUGAGCGGCAGGUCCCAGGCAAGCUGGGAACAGUGCCUAGUUACGGGGGAGCUCGGGGAAGGGGUGCACUUGGUUCUCAAGCAAUUAUCAUCCUCCAACAGCUAAACACACCCCAAAGCGAUCCAUUUUCUCACUGCAGAGCAAAGGCAUCGGAUCGGUUUUUGUGGUAACUAUGCAAUUAGCUCUCCCUGGCACUGCGGUGACUUCUUGGGGAGUGUGUUUGCUACAGAGCACAGUGACAACUGAUUGUGAUCUACGACAUAACAUUUCAGAAAGUGGACUCUGAUUUCAUAUCGUGGAGUCAAGCCUUUCAUCAGAAACAGUUUACUGGCUAAGUUAAGACAGAGGUCCAGGAGGGGCGGCCCAAGCUGGUUGUAAGGUGGGGGUCAGGAGGGGCCACUGGUCUGUCUACUGAGACAGUCUGCUGUCUCAUGAUCCAGCCUCUUAAGAGACCCCGAGAGGCUGUACCACAGAGCUCUCCUGUAAGUCCCUGUCUUUGGAUAUCCUGGCUUUGUGCAGCUAGAGGUAUUCCAAGCACUGGGUGCUUUAUACAGAGUCUGCAGGAGAAGCCACGUGCAAACCAAGGCUCAGAAUAAUCGGGAACUGGGAAAUCUCAGCCUCGAGAAGCCUGAAGUCAGGCGGGAAGAGUCCUACAGUGUCCUGUGCGUGCCAAACAAGACAUUGUCCUAGCUGGGUGUGGUGGUUCACAACUUGCUCAGCAGGUGAAAGUAAGUCUGCUAACCCUGACAAACAAGUUCAAUCCCUGCACCCUAUCUUUAGCCAGAGGGUGUUCUAGCACUCCUCUAGAACCCUGGCUCUCCUACAGUGAGAUGGGAGGCAGAGACAGAAAUCCAAAGUCAACAGGCUUGGGAAACUGAGGCAGGAGGAUUGCUAUGAAUGUGAGGCUAGCCUGGCCUGUAAAUUAAAAUCUUAUCUCUAAAAAGGUGGGGAAACGACAUAAAGACAUAGACAUACCUUCCCAAGCCUCCAUCAAAAAGAGCAAACAUGGUGACCGGCUGUCCUACGCAGGUGAGAGAGAAGCCGUGGGCUCUGUAACAAGGGACAGGGCUUUACAAAUGGCAAUGACCUUGGAAUUUAUCUCUCCUCUCAGUACUGCAUGGUUCUGUUAAGCCGAACGGGGCACGGACAGGCUUCUGAGAGCUAAGGAUCUAGGGGAGACUGCUCAGGCCUUGGAGUCCUGCUCCCUGCAGACUGGACAGGCUUCAUCUUCACUGCUUUAUCUGCUCGUGGAAAGGCCAGGGUCAAGGGCUUUAAGACAAGACGUGUGGUGACCUCAAAAUGAAACCCUGUGUCUGCCCACUUGUCCUGAAAGUUGUCAUCUGAGCCCAAGUGGCCAUAUUAGCUGUCAGAACCAUACAGAGGUGACAUUGAGCUUUGGAGGGCCAGGUUGUUCAUGGGCUGGGGUACCAUGUGAUGCUGAGCUUCCAAACAUCACCAUCUCACACGCCAAGGUGCUGCCAUCUACUCUGCCAUCCACCCUGAUGAAGAAACCAUGGGGAAAUUAACAAGGGCAGCUGUGGCGCACACCCCUGUCACUUCUACACUCAGGAGCCUGAGGCAGGAUUGUGGGUUCCAGACCAGCCGGGCUGUAGAACAGUCCUGUGUCUAAAAGAAGAAGUCAUCGAGAACUGGAGAAUGCAUGCAAGCAGGCCUGGUGGCUUAAAUGAGGAGCAGCAUUUGUGGUCAGGCUGACUCCACAUGGUGGAAAGGGAGCUGAUGCCUGCCAGCUGUUCUCUGACUUCCACAGGCACGGAACAAAGGAGCCACCACACUCUGUGGGAAAGCUGUGGCAUAACCCUGGGAUGAAAUUCUGAGCUGGAGAGAUGGACAGUGGUUAAGAGCAUUGACUGCUCUUCUAGAGGACCUGGGUUCAAUUCCCAGCACCCAUAUGGCCGGUCACAACUGUCUGCAACUCCAGGAUCUAACACCCUCACAGAGAUGUACAUGCAGGCAAAACAUCAGUAAGCCUAAAAUUAAAAAAUGAAUUAUUUAAUAAAGGAGUGAAAUUCACACAACACGAAUGAACCAUUUAAAGAUGCACAGUUUAGUGGCUUGGGUACAUCAUGUCUAACCACCCCUCUUCCUAGUUCCAGGACAGCUAGAGGGGACCAAGAAGAGAUGUUAAGGACCUUUCAAUUCACCAUUCAUUCAAUUGAAAGUCUCCUCCCUCCAGGCUGCAGAGAGAACAACUAAAUAUUUACCCCUGACAAACAUCAUUGGGGUGGAUGACCCAAAUCGCCCCGGUGACGAUUCUAGGCUGCAGUGUUUUCCUGCUGUCGGGAACUUCCAGAGAGAGGUCAGCCAGGUGACCUUCCAGUGGCCCAUCCUCAGUAGAGAUGCCAGAGAGACCUGUGAAAGGGCCUUUGACUCUAGUGUGCUGUUUCUUGCCUCCUUCUAGAAAAACUUAGCCACUGUUUCUUUGCUUUGCCAGCAGGAGUCUCUGUGAUUUCUGAUCGCUGCAUGCAGCGGCCUCUCAGCAGAAGUCUUACCUUGUUGUCGAUGUAGGGAGGGACCCUUCCAUCCUUGGCUGGGAUGAACUGGGGAGGCUGUGGUCUGGGAGUGAAAGGUGCACCUUGGGAAGACAGGACAUGGCUUGAUCUCUAGUGAUGAGUAGAUUUUCCUGGCUGUGAAGUUCUCUCACACACUAAGAUCUAAUAUGGAAACCUAAGGCUCACAUCGGGGGAGCCAGGCUCUGCGGAUAAAGGGAACUCGGGGUAUAUCUCUCUGGUUCUUCAUUUUAGUCUGGAGGAGGCUUGAUGGGAUACCCCAGCCCUGAGGGUACCAUCACAAACCCACAGACCCGGCUUCUGCUGUUUCCAGAGAAACAGCUCAGCUGUGGAGUGGAUGCUCUGUCAAUAGCUUCCAGGCCAUGAAAGCUCACCAAGACAUGUCCCCAGCCACUCACCAAUCUUCAGAAUUCUCCACCGGGAGACCCCAUGAAGUCCACGGUGUUUCUCACGAUUUCCUGGUCCGUAGACUCUGUCCGUGGCCACCACCCAUCUUUCUCUCACAACCCUUGCAUCUUGAUGGGGCCUGGCCAGGGUUAGAUUGCUUUUUUUCUGGAGGCAGGGUCUUGUGUUGCUGUGUCUGGUCUUGAAUGUAUUAUGUAGCCAAGGAUGACCUUGGACACUUUAAUCCUCCUGUUUUCACCUCCUGAUUGCUAGGAUUGCAGGUGUUUACCACCAUGUCUGAUUCAUGGGGGUCUGGGGAUCAAACCCAGGGCUUUGUGCAUGCGGCCUUCAUCUUGCUUCCUAACUGCUCUAUUCUGUAUGGGCUUCUAGAGCCCUGAAGACAGCCUGUCUGAAGAAACCAUCAGGCUGAUGUAUUACCCAGCACUCUUUAUCUCUACCUGCUCAGGAGGUCAGCAACAUCAGGAGGGCCAGAGCCUGGCUGGGAGGCUCGGAGUCCUUGGCUUUAAAAGAUUCCUUAAAUGUAUGGCUCAGCCGUGUCUGUUUGUCUCGUGGCUUCUGAGGACAAGUGUAAGCAUGUCUGGGAAGGUACUUGUGACCGUAGGACCCACAGUUUCUGUCUACGUCAUCACUAUUGAUCCUAGUUUGUAUGCAAAUACAGCUAUCAAUGUUGUCCUCACAGGACAUGAGCUGUGGACAUGGGGAUGGGGCAGGUGUGUGUAGCCUCUUUUUCUAUAGGACCACUGAGUGAGUCAAACUCACUAUCCUCCUGCCUCUGCCUCCUGGAUCCAUGUAUGGAUUAUACUGUACAUGGCAG
rnacentral:lncRNA from 1 species